AUUGAACGCUGGCGGCAGGCCUAAUACAUGCAAGUCGAACGAGAUCCAAGAGCUUGCUUUUGGUGAAAGUGGCGCACGGGCGCGUAACGCGUAUGCAACCUACCUUAAUCAGGGGGAUAGCCUCUCGAAAGAGAGAUUAACACCGCAUAACAUUAUGAUAUGGCAUCAUAUUAUAAUCAAAUAUUUAUAGGAUUAAGAUGGGCAUGCGUGGCAUUAGCUAGUUGGUGAGGUAACGGCUCACCAAGGCUACGAUGUCUAGGGGAUCUGAGAGGAUGACCCCCCACACUGGUACUGAGACACGGACCAGACUCCUACGGGAGGCAGCAGUAAGGAAUAUUGGUCAAUGGAGGCAACUCUGAACCAGCCAUGCCGCGUGCAGGAAGACGGCCCUAUGGGUUGUAAACUGCUUUUAUACGGGAAUAAACCUCUCCACGUGUAGGGAGUUGAAUGUACUGUAAGAAUGAGGAUCGGCUAACUCCGUGCCAGCCGCCGCGGUAAAAC
rnacentral:rRNA from 1 species